UACAGAGGUGGCAAGCGUUGUUCGGAAUUACUGGCGUAAAGGGCGCGUAGGCGGCCUUCUAAGUCAGACGUGAAUCCCCGGCUUAACCUGGGAACUGCGUCUGAUACUGGGAGGCUUGAGUAUGGGAGAGGGAUGUAGAAUUCCAGGUGUAGCGGUGAAAUGCGUAGAUAUCUGGAGGAAUACCGGUGGCGAAGGCGGCAUCCUGGACCGACAUUGACGCUGAGGAGCGAAAAGCUAGGGGAGCAAACGGG
rnacentral:rRNA from 1 species